rnacentral:rRNA from 1 species
AGAGACAGCAGCAGCCGCGGUAAAACGGAGGGUGCAAGCGUUAUCCGGAUUUAUUGGGUUUAAAGGGUCCGUAGGCGGAUCUGUAAGUCAGUGGUGAAAUCUCACAGCUUAACUGUGAAACUGCCAUUGAUACUGCAGGUCUUGAGUAAAUUUGAAGUGGCUGGAAUAAGUAGUGUAGCGGUGAAAUGCAUAGAUAUUACUUAGAACACCAAUUGCGAAGGCAGGUCACUAAGAUUUAACUGACGCUGAUGGACGAAAGCGUAAGGAGCGAACAGGAUUAGAUACCCGUGUAGUCCCUGUCUCUUAUAC